rnacentral:tRNA from 1 species
GGGAAGGUGGCUCAGUGGUAGAGUGCUUGCUUUGCGUGCAUGAGGUCCUGGGUUCGAUUCCUCCGCACCG